AUGCAGGAUAAGUUACAGUGUCGCCUGUUCAGUGCUGCUCUGUCGUUCCCCCUGCAAACAAUAACUAGUUUCCUACUAUCCCUGUCUGUCUGCAUCCCACGGCUGACAGGGACGCUUGGUCUCAGACAC
ensembl:snoRNA SNORA63 Small nucleolar RNA SNORA63